rnacentral:rRNA from 1 species
GAUGAACGCUAGCGAUAGGCUUAACACAUGCAAGUCGAGGGGCAGCAUGGUCUUAGCUUGCUAAGACUGAUGGCGACCGGCGCACGGGUGCGUAACGCGUAUGCAACUUGCCUCACAGAGGGGGAUAACCCGUCGAAAGACGGACUAAUACCGCGUACACUUGGGAUAGGGCAUCCUGACCCAAGGAAAUGAAAUUCGCUGUGAGAUAGGCAUGCGUCCCAUUAGCUAGUCGGUGAGGUAACGGCUCACCAAGGCGACGAUGGGUAGGGGAACUGAGAGGUUGAACCCCCACACUGGUACUGAGACACGGACCAGACUCCUACGGGAGGCAGCAGUGAGGAAUAUUGGUCAAUGGGCGAGAGCCUGAACCAGCCAAGUCGCGUGAAGGAUGACUGUCUUAUGGAUUGUAAACUUCUUUUAUACGGGAAUAACAAGAGCCACGUGUGGCUCCCUGCAUGUACCGUAUGAAUAAGCAUCGGCUAACUCCGUG